GGGCAAUUGGUCUAGGGGUAUAAUUUUCGCUUCGCACUAUAUGCUACUGUGAAAGGUCACCGGUUCAAAUCCGGUAUUGUCCA